ACAGAACCAUGAAGCAGUGAAGAUAAAUGAUGUGUGUGAGGUGAUGUGAAAAAAAGUCAUCAGUUUUUCAGCUGAAGAACAUAAGAGACCAAACAUCUGAGUUCAUUUCUUCUCAAAACUGUACAGAAAUAAAAACUCUGUGAGUGAUGAAUCAGGAAACCCCUCAGACGAGCAGAAAAAAGUCACAAACAGCCAAAACCACAAUCACAGGGUAUCAGAGAAUGUGACUGGUUGUGAUUAUUGAGUGGGCGGAGCAUAUGAUCUCUCUCCUGUCAAUCACAGUGACACUAGCCAAUCAUGUGCUUCUGUAAGUUCAUGUAGAAGAGGGUAGAUAGUGCUUUCCUCUUUGUGUGUUAGCAUCAGAUCAGAAAGUGUCUAUGUGAUGUGCAUCACGUUUCACAGGAAGUUAGCCUGUUAGCCUCCUGUUAGCCCUCUGUUAGCCUGUUAGCACGGUGGCUAGCCACUGUAUCUGAGACUGACCAAGAACAACUAACAACACAACAACUGCAGGAAAUGUCCUAUAGAGCUCCAGAGUUCCUGGUGUAACGUUCAUGAGAAGUCAGAGCAGCUGGAGGAAUGUUCUGACUGGAACUCAUUGAAGUUUAGUGUUCGUGUGUCUGGACCAGAUUUCCUGGUGGUGAUGCAGUUAUUUCUUAGAAGAAAGAAGAUAUUGCUACUAAAUGAAAUGCUUCUGAGAUGCUUUUCUGCGCAUUAUGUGUGUAAAGAGUGGUGUGUCCUUCUUUAGUCAGCUCUAGUCCUCUUCUUCUCACGGAUAAUGUGUUUCCACCUGGACAUCACCAUGUCACACCUUGUUUCAACAACAAGCAGAAGAUCUCAUCAGUUUCCUCUCCUGUCCACAAAGAACAGGAAUCUGGGCACCACUGUGGUGUGCAGGUGCUUCAGCUGAUCAAAGCGUCUGAGAUAAUGAACUGAUACUGAUACUUUUUUACUGAACACGUU